rfam:Jatropha curcas cultivar GZQX0401 scaffold72_9, whole genome shotgun sequence.
AUCUUUGCGCUUGGGGCAAUGACGCAGCUAGUGAGGUUCUAACCGAGGCGCGUCUAUUGCUGGUUGGAAACUAUUUCCAAACCCCCUCUUCGGCCUAGGCUUGACUUAGGCCGUAGAGAAUUUCUGGAAGGGCUCCCUUCGGGGUAAAGCU